AACAGGAAUAGGAAGAAGAGAAGAGCAGAGGGGGACACAUAUCUUGAGAGCUUUAAAAAUCCUAUGGAUAAUGUAGACACAGCACUUACCCCCAUGACUGUGUCAACGGAUUAUGACACUCUGCAGAAUGAUAAAAUCUUUGACAGUGACACUUAUUCAACCCUGAACCCUGCCAUGUCCUCUGAUUUUGGGACACUGAUGACCUUUAAAAAUCUUGAAAAUGAUACAUCGCUGCACUGACUCCUGUGACUCUUAAUGGAUUCUGACACUCUGCAAGGUGUGGCUACUCCAGUUCAGUUUGAUUUAAUAAGUUUGUUAGCAUCAUUGUUAGUUUAUGUUAGUUCAUCAUUAGCAUUAAUGAUGAGGAUGCUCAAGGUGAGAGUUUUAGGAUUAGAGUUGAGGAUUAGGGUUAAACAUCAUGAAGACAUCAAGAUAAACUGAUUUCAAUCUUCAGUAAUUGUUGUUCAUUUUUGUUAUUUAGGCGCUAAUUUUGUUUCACUGUUUUUUUCGGCGUGUUAAAAUAUUGUAUAAACAUACAUACAUAUACUCUGUGGCAUGGUCUGAGAUAAUCAUUUAAAUUUUAUAUGUAUAUCUAGCUUUUUCUCAUCUCUUAACUUGCUUCAUCUCUGUUUAUGCUGAUAUCAGUGGACAAAUAAUCAGAUUUAUUUAAUCAAUUCUGAUCUGUUUAAGAUUCUUG